CCUACGGGAGGCAGCAGUGAGGAAUAUUGCACAAUGGGCGAAAGCCUGAUGCAGCAACGCCGCGUGAAGGAAGAAGGGUUUCGGCUCGUAAACUUCUAUCAACAGGGACGAAAGAAAUGACGGUACCUGCAUAAGAAGCCUCGGCUAAAUACGUGCCAGCAGCCGCGGUAAUACGUAGGCGGCAAGCGUUAUCCGGAAUUACUGGGUGUAAAGGGUGAGUAGGUGGCAUGGUAAGUCAGAUGUGAAAGCAUGGGGCUUAACCCGAGGAUUGCAUUUGGAACUAUCAAGCUAGAGUACAGGGGAGGAAAGCGGAAUUCGUGGUGGAGCGGUGAAAUGCGUAGAUAUUAGGAAGAACACCGGUGGCGAAGGCGGCUUUCUGGACUGAAACUGACGCUGAGGCACGAAAGCGUGGGGAGCGAACAGGAUUAGAUACCCCGGUAGUC
rnacentral:rRNA from 1 species